CAUCACAAGCCGACGCCCCAAGCACCACCUCGAUCUAUUAUUGGCCUCGCUACUCCAUCGUCCCAUAGAAGACAAAAGAAACCCAUUGGAGAUGGGAGGCAUGGUUGAUUACAAGGGCCGUCCCAUCUCCCGCUCCGCCAUCACCGGCGGCUGGACCUCCGCUCUCUUCAUCAUAGGGGUGGAGAUGGCCGAGAGAUUCAGCUACAGCGGCAUCUCCUCCAACCUCAUAAGCUAUCUCACGGGGCCGCUCCGCCAGUCCACGGCAGCCGGCGCGGCCAACACCAACGCCUGGACCGGGACGGCCAGCAUGCUGCCGAUUUUAGGGGCGGUCGUCGCCGACUCCUGGUUGGGCCGAUAUCGGACGAUCAUCCUCUCUCCUCUCCUCUAUGUCUUGGUACGCCCUCCGCCCAUUUCUUAGAUCGUCCAUGUACCCUCACUGUGAUACCUAUGGAUCAAAGGGACGGGGUUUGGUUCACAUCAGUAAUAGGAUUGGUGUCCCACCGGAGAUCCAACGGCCCUAGUGAGCCGCGCUUUGCAGUGCCGGGAUUUACGGCAGCGUUCGAUCUCACGCCAAACCCCAUGGUGCUAGAUAAGCCGUUUUCGUGACUGGUAAACGCCAAGGGAAUCGCAAUAGUUGCAUAUAAUAAAAUUUCCAUUUGGU